CCCACAGCUGUAAACAGAUGAAUGCUACUCGUAGGGGUUCAUGUCACCUCUGUGGCGACCUGCUAACUGCAUUAAGUCAUUCCNGCCUGGGGUAUUACAGGUCGCAAGAUUAAUAACUCAAAGGAAUUGACGGGGGCCCNGCACAAUCGGUGGUAGCAUNUGGUUUAAUUCGAAGCAACGCUGCUAGAACCUUACCAUCCCUUUNACAUAGGCGUGUUAUCCGGAGAGAUCCGGGGUCCCCUUUCGGGGGCGCGCACACAGGUGCUGCAUGUCUNNUCAGUCAGCUCGUGUCUGUGAGAUGUUGGGUUAAGUCCNCAGCAACGAGCGCAACCCACGUCCUCAGUUGCCAUCAUUCAGUUGGGCACUCUGGGGAGACUGCCAGUGUGAUAAGCCGCGAGUGAAGGUGUGGAUGACGUCAAGUCCUCAUGGCCCUUACGGGAUGGGCUACACACAGUGCUACAAUGNCAGGUGACAAUGGGCAGCGAUAUGGGUGCGACCUGGAUGCGAAUCCCCAUAAAGCCGUCUUCAGUUUCGGAUGCACUCUUCAACUCGGGUGCAUG
rnacentral:rRNA from 1 species